rnacentral:rRNA from 1 species
AACCUUGGACCUGGCCGAUCUGUCCUCCUAACCGAGCGCACGGAUUCGGUCGGGUCUUUCCUUCUGGGGAACCCGAUGCCCUUCACUGGGUGUCGUGGGGAACCAGGACUUUUACCUUGAAAAAUUAGAGUGUUCAAAGCAGGCCUUUGCUCGAAUACAUUAGCAUGGAAUAAUAAAAUAGGACAUCGGUUCUAUUUUGUUGGUUUCUAGGACCGCUGUAAUGAUUAAUAGGGAUAGUCGGGGGCGUCCGUAUUCAAUUGUCAGAGGUGAAAUUCUUGGAUUUAUUGAAGACGAACUACUGCGAAAGCAUUCGCCAAGGAUGCUUUCAUUAAUCAGUGAACGAAAGUUAGGGGAUCGAAGACGAUCAGAUACCGUCGUAGUCUUAACCAUAAACUAUGCCGACUAGGGAUCGGACGGUGGUUUUUUUAUGCCCCGUUCGGCACCUUACGAGAAAUCAAAGUUUUUGGGCUCGGGGGGGAGUAUGGUCGCAAGGCUGAAACUUAAAGA